UUCACUUUUUGUAGAGAUGUAGCGAGAAUGGAUGAUAAGAAUGAUGCAUUUCCAGUUUUGUGUCUAUCUGUAUCUUUGAUGUCUAUUUUGUUGUUAGUUUUUUUAAGAUCGUGGGUAAAUAUUCUUUGUUCAUCGACUGGAUAGUGGGAUCAGGCAUGCCUUAACAGUUUUUCAGUUAAUAAAAUAUGUUCAGUUAAUUAGUUUAUAUUUACUGUGAUGUUAGUGUUCUUUAUUAGCAUGAUAGCAUCUUCACUUUGUUUUUUCAAAUAAAUUCAUUGUUCAGUAUUUACUGCUCUACUUUAUUCAUAAAUCCAUUGUUCAUUUUUGUUUAUUAAAAUAGCCAUGUCUAUCUGCUAUUCCUAGGAUUUCCUUAAAUAACUAUGCUAAUAAAUAUGUCCAUCUCGGAGAGAAUUAAUCUUGCUUCCUUGCAGACUCUGAACAUCAGGACCAUGUGGACUAAACUUGCAUGUGGGUGCACCAAGGAGAAGGUCCCACUCAUCAAGGGAUAACAACUAAUUGGUCAGACUUUGUGAAGACAGGGGUUGGAUAAUUUGGAGAAUGUCUUUGCGUUAAAGGCUAAAAGGGGCAAAGUGUCACUUGUUGUCUACCUGUUUUGACAAGGUUCAUUGUGAGCGUUCGCUUGGACUUAUCUCACACCAUUGAUCUGGCUCGCUUUGGUUAUGUAAUAAGCCAACUAUUGUAUCUACUUAGUGUUGAUCCAUCAGCUUGGCUUACUUUUGGAACAUACUACGUAUUCCCCCAUUUGUCAUGAACUUUUAGAUCUAAUGUUUCAUGCUUCUGGUAUAUUUGAUGGCCUUACCUUUUGUCAUUGUUUGGACAAAUUGCUCUACACUGGACACUUAUGUAUCAAGGCAAUGCCAUGCUUCUGAUGCAACCUUAUUGUAUUGGACUGAUCCAUUAUUUGAGCAAUCACUCUAAUUUUCCUUUGCAA